rnacentral:rRNA from 1 species
AGAACGAACGCUGGCGGCAUGCCUAACACAUGCAAGUCGAACGAGACCUUCGGGUCUAGUGGCGCACGGGUGCGUAACGCGUGGGAAUCUGCCCUUGGGUUCGGGAUAACAGUUGGAAACGACUGCUAAUACCGGAUGAUGACUUCGGUCCAAAGAUUUAUUGCCCAGGGAUGAGCCCGCGUAGGAUUAGCUAGUUGGUGAGGUAAAGGCUCACCAAGGCGACGAUCCUUAGCUGGUCUGAGAGGAUGAUCAGCCACACUGGGACUGAGACACGGCCCAGACUCCUACGGGAGGCAGCAGUGGGGAAUAUUGGACAAUGGGCGAAAGCCUGAUCCAGCAAUGCCGCGUGAGUGAUGAAGGCCUUAGGUUGUAAAGCUCUUUUACCCGGGAUGGAUAAUGACAGUACCGGAGAAUAAGCCCCGGAUAACUCCGUGCCAAGCCAGCCCGA